UCCCGUUUGCUGUAGCCCUAAUUCCUCCUUUCCUCUUUUGGUAUUUCAUUUUCCCGUCCCACAGCCACAGCCCACAGCCGUCACCCCGCAGCCACACCUCAAUCCCCGCAGCCUCCAUUCUCACCGCCAGGCGCCAUCCUCCAUUCUUACCGCAGCCUCCAUUCUCACCCCACCCCGCAGCCUUCAUUCUCACCGCCUGCCUCCAUUCUCCUAAUUUUUUCUUUUCCCCUUUCUGUCAACUCUUUUCCCGUUCCACACCUGCAGCCGCAGCUGCACCUUCCUGACAAAAGCAGCCGACUGAAUCAAGCGACUAAAUUCCUUCCUUGGCCAGUAGCUCGCCUGAUUCUUGCCACCGUCACUGACUCACCAUACGGAGCAGCCAUACGGAGCCACCUCGGUAGAGCCAGGGGCCUCUACCAUACCCCGAUUCACUGCAUUCUGGAAUCACUUGAUGCGGCCGAAUCAAUCACAUUUGAGGAAGUUGAACUUCCUGAAUCAUUCACGAGCUGAUUUGGUGGCUGUUGAUGUUGCUUGGUGGCUUCUGAUAUGUUUGGUGGCUGUUUAUGUAAACUUUUGAUGUUGUAAUCUGAUAUUUGGUUUGGACAUGUUAUCUGAUAUGUUUAGGGGCUGUUUAUGUAAACUUUUCAUGUUGUAAUCUGAUAUUUGGUUUGGAUAUGUUAUUUGAUAUGUUUUGGACAUGUUGUAAUCUGAUUUGGUUUGGAUAUUGUAAUCCGAGUUUUUAUAUUCGACUUGGCUUGCAAUAUUUGGCUUCAAUUCGAGCUUGUGGAAUUGAAGAUGAUA